UUGACCUCAAAUCAGGUAGGACUACCCGCUGAACUUAAGCAUAUCAAAAACGGGAAAGGAA
rnacentral:rRNA from 1 species